UGAACGCUGGCGGCGUGCCUAAUACAUGCACGUCGAGCGAACGGACGAGAAGCUUGCUUUUCUGAUGUUAGCGGCGGACGGGUGAGUAACACGUGGAUAACCUACCUAUAAGACUGGGAUAACUUCGGGAAACCGGAGCUAAUACCGGAUAAUAUUUUGAACCGCAUGGUUCAAAAGUGAAAGACGGUCUUGCUGUCACUUAUAGAUGGAUCCGCGCUGCAUUAGCUAGUUGGUAAGGUAACGGCUUACCAAGGCAACGAUGCAAAGCCGACCUGAGAGGGUGAUCGGCCACACUGGAACUGAGACACGGUCCAGACUCCUACGGGAGGCAGCAGUAGGGAAUCUUCCGCAAUGGGCGAAAGCCUGACGGAGCAACGCCGCGUGAGUGAUGAAGGUCUUCGGAUCGUAAAACUCUGUUAUUAGGGAAGAACAUAUGUGUAAGUAACUGUGCACAUCUUGACGGUACCUAAUCAGAAAGCCACGGCUAACUACGUG
rnacentral:rRNA from 1 species